AGUCUGAAUAGGGCGUUUAGUAUUUGGUCGUAGACCCGAAACCAGGUGAUCUACCCUUGGUCAGGUUGAAGUUCAGGUAACACUGAAUGGAGGACCGAACCGACUUACGUUGAAAAGUGAGCGGAUGAACUGAGGGUAGCGGAGAAAUUCCAAUCGAACCUGGAGAUAGCUGGUUCUCUCCGAAAUAGCUUUAGGGCUAGCCUCAAGUGAUGAUUAUUGGAGGUAGAGCACUGUUUGGACGAGGGGCCCCUCUCGGGUUACCGAAUUCAGACAAACUCCGAAUGCCAAUUAAUUUAACUUGGGAGUCAGAACAUGGGUGAUAAGGUCCGUGUUCGAAAGGGAAACAGCCCAGACCACCAGCUAAGGUCCCAAAAUAUAUGUUAAGUGGAAAAGGAUGUGGCGUUGCCCAGACAACUAGGAUGUUGGCUUAGAAGCAGCCAUCAUUUAAAGAGUGCGUAAUAGCUCACUAGUCGAGUGACACUGCGCCGAAAAUGUACCGGGGCUAAACAUAUUACCGAAGCUGUGGAUUGUCCUUUGGACAAUGGUAGGAGAGCGUUCUAAGGGCGUUGAAGCAUGAUCGUAAGGACAUGUGGAGCGCUUAGAAGUGAGAAUGCCGGUGUGAGUAGCGAAAGACGGGUGAGAAUCCCGUCCACCGAUUGACUAAGGUUUCCAGAGGAAGGCUCGUCCGCUCUGGGUUAGUCGGGUCCUAAGCUGAGGCCGACAGGCGUAGGCGAUGGAUAACAGGUUGAUAUUCCUGUACCACCUAUAAUCGUUUUAAUCGAUGGGGGGACGCAGUAGGAUAGGCGAAGCGUGCGAUUGGAUUGCACGUCUAAGCAGUAAGGCUGAGUAUUAGGCAAAUCCGGUACUCGUUAAGGCUGAGCUGUGAUGGGGAGAAGACAUUGAGUCUUCGAGUCGUUGAUUUCACACUGCCGAGAAAAGCCUCUAGAUAGAAAAUAGGUGCCCGUACCGCAAACCGACACAGGUAGUCAAGAUGAGAAUUCUAAGGUGAGCGAGCGAACUCUCGUUAAGGAACUCGGCAAAAUGACCCCGUAACUUCGGGAGAAGGGGUGCUCUUUAGGGUUAACGCCCAGAAGAGCCGCAGUGAAUAGGCCCAAGCGACUGUUUAUCAAAAACACAGGUCUCUGCUAAACCGUAAGGUGAUGUAUAGGGGCUGACGCCUGCCCGGUGCUGGAAGGUUAAGAGGAGUGGUUAGCUUCUGCGAAGCUACGAAUCGAAGCCCCAGUAAACGGCGGCCGUAACUAUAACGGUCCUAAGGUAGCGAAAUUCCUUGUCGGGUAAGUUCCGACCCGCACGAAAGGCGUAACGAUUUGGGCACUGUCUCAACGAGAGACUCGGUGAAAUCAUAGUACCUGUGAAGAUGCAGGUUACCCGCGACAGGACGGAAAGACCCCGUGGAGCUUUACUGUAGCCUGAUAUUGAAAUUCGGCACAGCUUGUACAGGAUAGGUAGGAGCCUUUGAAACGUGAGCGCUAGCUUACGUGGAGGCGCUGGUGGGAUACUACCCUAGCUGUGUUGGCUUUCUAACCCGCACCACUUAUCGUGGUGGGAGACAGUGUCAGGCGGGCAGUUUGACUGGGGCGGUCGCCUCCUAAAAGGUAACGGAGGCGCUCAAAGGUUCCCUCAGAAUGGUUGGAAAUCAUUCAUAGAGUGUAAAGGCAUAAGGGAGCUUGACUGCGAGACCUACAAGUCGAGCAGGGUCGAAAGACGGACUUAGUGAUCCGGUGGUUCCGCAUGGAAGGGCCAUCGCUCAACGGAUAAAAGCUACCCCGGGGAUAACAGGCUUAUCUCCCCCAAGAGUUCACAUCGACGGGGAGGUUUGGCACCUCGAUGUCGGCUCAUCGCAUCCUGGGGCUGUAGUCGGUCCCAAGGGUUGGGCUGUUCGCCCAUUAAAGCGGUACGCGAGCUGGGUUCAGAACGUCGUGAGACAGUUCGGUCCCUAUCCGUCGUGGGCGUAGGAAAUUUGAGAGGAGCUGUCCUUAGUACGAGAGGACCGGGAUGGACAUACCUCUGGUGUACCAGUUGUCGUGCCAACGGCAUAGCUGGGUAGCUAUGUGUGGACGGGAUAAGUGCUGAAAGCAUCUAAGCAUGAAGCCCCCCUCAAGAUGAGAUUUCCCAACUUCGGUUAUAAGAUCCCUCAAAGAUGAUGAGGUUAAUAGGUUCGAGGUGGAAGCAUGGUGACAUGUGGAGCUGACGAAUACUAAUCGAUCGAAGACUUAAUCAA
rnacentral:rRNA from 1 species